CUCGUAGGCGGUUUGUCGCGUCUGCUGUGAAAACUGGGGGCUCAACCCCCAGCCUGCAGUGGGUACGGGCAGACUAGAGUGCGGUAGGGGAGAUUGGAAUUCCUGGUGUAGCGGUGGAAUGCGCAGAUAUCAGGAGGAACACCGAUGGCGAAGGCAGAUCUCUGGGCCGUAACUGACGCUGAGGAGCGAAAGCAUGGGGAGCGAACA
rnacentral:rRNA from 1 species